rfam:Pteropus alecto contig12377, whole genome shotgun sequence.
GUCUAUGGCCAUGCCACCCUGAGCAAGCCUGAUUCUGUCUGAUCUUGGAAGCUAAGCAGGGUCGGGCCUGGUUAGUACUUGGAUGGGAGACCACCUAGGAAAACCAGGCGCUGUAGGCA